GACGAACGCUGGCGGUGUGCUUAACACAUGCAAGUCGAACGGUAAGGCCCUUUCGGGGGUACACGAGUGGCGAACGGGUGAGUAACACGUGAGUAACCUGCCCUCAUCUCUGGGGUAACAGUCGGAAACGGUUGCUAAUACUGGAUAUGAGCUUGCAAGGCAUCUUGUGGGUUGGAAAGAUUUUUUUUGGUUGGGGAUGGACUCGCGGCCUAUCAGCUUGUUGGUGAGGUAGUGGCUCACCAAGGCUUCGACGGGUAGCCGGCCUGAGAGGGCGACCGGCCACAUUGGGACUGAGAUACGGCCCAAACUCCUACGGGAGGCAGCAGUGGGGAAUAUUGCACAAUGGACGGAAGUCUGAUGCAGCAACGCCGCGUGCGGGAUGACGGCCUUCGGGUUGUAAACCGCUUUCAAUUGUGACGAAGCUUUUUUGUGACGGUAGCAGUAGAAGAAGCACCGGCUAACUACGUG
rnacentral:rRNA from 1 species